rnacentral:rRNA from 1 species
GACGAACGCUGGCGGCGUGCUUAACACAUGCAAGUCGAACGGAAAGGCCCUGCUUUUGGGGGGUGCUCGAGUGGCGAACGGGUGAGUAACACGUGAGUAACCUGCCCUUGACUUUGGGAUAACUUCAGGAAACUGGGGCUAAUACCGGAUAGGAGCUCCUGCUGCAUGGUGGGGGUUGGAAAGUUUCGGCGGUUGGGGAUGGACUCGCGGCUUAUCAGCUUGUUGGUGGGGUAGUGGCUUACCAAGGCUUUGACGGGUAGCCGGCCUGAGAGGGUGACCGGCCACAUUGGGACUGUGAUACCGUCCACGCCGCUCCGCGGGGCAGGCGUGACCAAUAUUUCACUUUGUCCUGUAGCCUGAUGACGCCUCGCGGCGCUCGGGAUCACCGCCUUCUGGUUAUGCACCGUUUUCGCCUGUGAUGAAGCGUGAGUGUCGGUAAUGCGUAACGAACCACCGUCUACCUACGUG